AAAUGCAAAAUUGCAGUUUUAUUUUCUCAGAGAUCGCAUGGCACUUUCUGAUUUCUGAAUAUUUAAUUUGUAUUAAGACUGAAAAUUGUUAGAUUUUUUCGCCAGGAAAAUCUUUUGUUGCGUGUACUGUUUAUCUCUGCGGCAUUUUAUCCCUUUUAAAUUAUGUCUGGUCGGCAAGGUGGAAAGAAGAAACCAUUAAAGGCUCCGAAAAAGGGUGGUGCAGAUAUGGAUGAGGAUGAUGCUGCAUUAAAACAGAAGAAGAGAGAGGAAGAAAAAGCUUUGAAAGAAGCAAGAGAGAAAGCUUCUAAAGGUCCAUUAGGUGUUAGUGGAAUUAAAAAAUCUGGCAAAAAGUGAAAUGAAAAUAUUCGACUAAGGCAAAAAAAUAUUUUUAUCAACAUCAUCUUGAAAUUCAUCUUGCUUGGGAUCAAGAUUCAUGUACAUUAUGUCAUUUAAACUUUCUAACAAAUAAAAUUGUUUUAAAACCUA